AUAAUAGGAAAGCGUUGCCAACAACAACAACCAGCCAUCGACAUUUACGCAAAACAAGACAGACACAAUUCAUUCAACAAAAGAAGAAGAACGAAAGCAUUUGAUUGCCAACCAAAAGAAAGAAAGAAAAAAGCCAACAACCACAACAUUAUGAAUCAUCGUUGUUUGGAUCGU
rnacentral:ribozyme from 1 species